rnacentral:snRNA from 1 species
GUCCUCGUGUUGCAUUCC